rnacentral:lncRNA from 1 species
GGUCUGGGCAGUUACAGACAAGAAGCAGAGAGCUGACAAACGACAGGAAGGCCUGGGACUGCCGGGUCUCAGCAGACACGCAGCCGGGCUGAGAGCGGUACCUUUCAGGAGACACUCCCCAUCCUGCCCUGUGGAACUCUGACCUGGGGCUGCACAGAGGAUCCUGACCUAUGGAGAAGAAUUCUCCUGGUUUCCCCUGCACCCCUCAGAAGGUAAGAACACGCCCAUGCUCACCCAG